AGUGAACGCUGGCGGUAGGCCUAACACAUGCAAGUCGAACGGCAGCACAGGAGAGCUUGCUCUCUGGGUGGCGAGUGGCGGACGGGUGAGGAAUACAUCGGAAUCUACUCUGUCGUGGGGGAUAACGUAGGGAAACUUACGCUAAUACCGCAUACGACCUACGGGUGAAAGCAGGGGACCUUCGGGCCUUGCGCGAUUGAAUGAGCCGAUGUCGGAUUAGCUAGUUGGCGGGGUAAAGGCCCACCAAGGCGACGAUCCGUAGCUGGUCUGAGAGGAUGAUCAGCCACACUGGAACUGAGACACGGUCCAGACUCCUACGGGAGGCAGCAGUGGGGAAUAUUGGACAAUGGGCGCAAGCCUGAUCCAGCCAUACCGCGUGGGUGAAGGAGGCCUUCGGGUUGUAAAGCCCUUUUGUUGGGAAAGAAAUCCAGCUGGCUAACACCCGGUUGGGAUGACGGUACCCAAAGAAUAAGCUCCGGCUAACUUCGUGCCAGCAGCCGCAGUAA
rnacentral:rRNA from 1 species